rnacentral:rRNA from 1 species
AGAGCGAACGCUGGCGGCAGGCUUAACACAUGCAAGUCGAGCGGGCGUAGCAAUACGUCAGCGGCAGACGGGUGAGUAACGCGUGGGAACGUACCUUUGGUUCGGAACAACACAGGGAAACUUGUGCUAAUACCGGAUAAGCCCUUACGGGGAAAGAUUUAUCGCCAAAAGAUCGGCCCGCGUCUGAUUAGCUAGUUGGUGAGGUAACGGCUCACCAAGGCGACGAUCAGUAGCUGGUCUGAGAGGAUGAUCAGCCACAUUGGGACUGAGACACGGCCAAAACUCCUACGGGAGGCAGCAGUGGGGAAUAUUGGACAAUGGGCGCAAGCCUGAUCCAGCCAUGCCGCGUGAGUGAUGAAGGCCCUAGGGUUGUAAAGCUCUUUUGUGCGGGAAGAUAAUGACGGUACCGCAAGAAUAACGCCCCGGCUAACUUCGUGCCAGCAGCCGC